CAACCCUCAAGCCUGGCUUGGUGAUGGGGCACUGCCUUGUGUAAAAACGAGGCAGGCCCUGAAAUUCAGUGGCGAGCUCGCCAGGACUCCGAGCGCAGUAGUUAAACCCUCGCUUUGGAAGGACUGGCGGUGCCCUGCCGUUAAACCCCCAACUUUUGAAA
rnacentral:misc_RNA from 1 species